CAGUUAUCACAGGCAGCAUUUCUACCAUUGCAAUACUGCAUACAGCCUCCUUACACAAACACUCACACACACACACACACCAUAAUUACAACCAUCUAUAUAGAACAAACAUAUUCUGCAGCGCAGUACAAUAGGUAAAAGGCAAAACAUUUUACACAACACGUUGACAUACAGGAACACAUCACAAGCAGCAUCCCACACACUGAACCCCACAAGUCGCCUACAAACGUUUGCAGGCUACUUGUAUGGACUUGUAAGAUUGAAAACAAAUGUGGGGGAUGCUGCUUGUGAUGUCACCAGCAAACACAGGGGAAAAAAACUUUGCACCAGAAGGGGGCCCUUGGUCUCCUAUUGCCCGAGGGCCCUGUGAGUUGUCAGUCCG